AUUGAACGCUGGCGGCAUGCUUUACACAUGCAAGUCGAACGGCAGCGCGGGCUUCGGCCUGGCGGCGAGUGGCGAACGGGUGAGUAAUACAUCGGAACGUGCCCAGUAGUGGGGGAUAGCUCGGCGAAAGCCGGAUUAAUACCGCAUACGACCUGAGGGUGAAAGCGGGGGAUCUUCGGACCUCGCGCUAUUAGCGCGGCCGAUGGCAGAUUAGCUAGUUGGUGGGGUAAAGGCCUACCAAGGCGACGAUCUGUAGCUGGUCUGAGAGGACGACCAGCCACACUGGGACUGAGACACGGCCCAGACUCCUACGGGAGGCAGCAGUGGGGAAUUUUGGACAAUGGGCGAAAGCCUGAUCCAGCAAUGCCGCGUGUGUGAUGAAGGCCUUCGGGUUGUAAAGCACUUUUGGCGGGAACGAAAAGGACUGUGCCAAUACCACGGUUCGAUGACGGUACCCGCAGAAUAAGCACCGGCUAACUACGUG
rnacentral:rRNA from 1 species